rnacentral:tRNA from 1 species
GGAGAGGUGGCCGAGAUAGGUCUAAGGCAGCCGCCUGCUAAGCGGUUGUCCCGUGAUGAGCGGGACCGUGGGUUCGAAUCCCACCCUCUCCG